rnacentral:lncRNA from 1 species
CUGCUUCCGUGAGAUCUCUCCGUAAUCAUUCUCCCUCUGUAUACUCUUCAAUUCCUCCAUUGUUUUCGACCUCGAGCGUGCAUGGAAAGAGUGCUGAUAGGGAGUUGCCUGUCAGAGUUUCCUGUGGUGUUGCCGGGUCCUUUAAUAAAAAAUACAGAAAUAGGCUUAAUAAAAGAAAAACAGAUUUGACACCUGCUACUUUUUAGAGAGAGAACCAU